AAGUUUGAUCCUGGCUCAGGAUGAACGCUGGCGGCGUGCUUAAUACAUGCAAGUCGAACGAGCACUUACGACAGAUCCCCUCGGGGUGAAGAUGUUUGUGACUUAGUGGCGGACGGGUGAGAACGCGUGGGUAACCUGCCUCAUGCAGGGGGAUAACAGUUAGAAAUGACUGCUAAUACCGAUAAGCGCACGGAUUCGCAUGUUUCUGUGUGAAAAGAUUUAUCGGCAUGAGAUGGACCCGGUCUGAUUAGGUAGUUGGUGAGGUAACGGCCCACCAAGCCUGCGAUCAGUAGCCGACUUGGAGAGUGAUCGGCCACAUUGGGACUGAGACACGGCCCAGACUCCUACGGGAGGCAGCAGUGGGAAUAUUGCACAAUGGGGGAAACCCUGAUGCAGCGACGCCGCGUGAGUGAAGAAGUAUUCGGUACGUAAAGCUCUAUCAGCAGGGAAGAUAAUGACGGUACCUGACUAAGAAGCCCCGCUAACUACGUGCCAGCAGCCGCGGUAAUACGUAGGGGGCAAGCGUUAUCCGGAUUUACUGGUGUAAAGGGAGUGUAGGCGGUCUGGCAAGUCUGAUGUGAAACUCCGGGGCUCAACCCCGAACUGCAUUGGAAACUGUCAGACUAGAGUGCAGGAGAGGAAAGUGGAAUUCCUAGUGUAGGGUGAAAUGCGUAGAUAUUAGGAAGAACACCAGUGGCGAAAGCGGCUUUCUGGACUGUAAUGACGCUGAGGCUCGAAAGCGUGGGGAGCAAACAGGAUUAGAUACCC
rnacentral:rRNA from 1 species